ACACAUGCAAGUCGAACGAGCGAGAGAAAGCUUGCUUUCUCGAGCGAGUGGCGAACGGGUGAGUAACGCGUGAGGAACCUGCCUCAAAGAGGGGGACAACAGUUGGAAACGACUGCUAAUACCGCAUAAGCCCACGGCUCGGCAUCGAGCAGAGGGAAAAGGAGCAAUCCGCUUUGAGAUGGCCUCGCGUCCGAUUAGCUAGUUGGUGAGGUAACGGCCCACCAAGGCGACGAUCGGUAGCCGGACUGAGAGGUUGAACGGCCACAUUGGGACUGAGACACGGCCCAGACUCCUACGGGAGGCAGCAGUGGGGAAUAUUGCACAAUGGGGGAAACCCUGAUGCAGCGACGCCGCGUGGAGGAAGAAGGUCUUCGGAUUGUAAACUCCUGUUGUUGGGGAAGAUAAUGACGGUACCCAACAAGGAAGUGACGGCUAACUACGUGCCAGCAGCCGCGGUAAAACGUAGGUCACAAGCGUUGUCCGGAAUUACUGGGUGUAAAGGGAGCGCAGGCGGGAAGACAAGUUGGAAGUGAAAUCUAUGGGCUCAACCCAUAAACUGCUUUCAAAACUGUUUUUCUUGAGUAGUGCAGAGGUAGGCGGAAUUCCCGGUGUAGCGGUGGAAUGCGUAGAUAUCGGGAGGAACACCAGUGGCGAAGGCGGCCUACUGGGCACCAACUGACGCUGAGGCUCGAAAGUGUGGGUAGCAAACAGGAUUAGAUACCCUGG
rnacentral:rRNA from 1 species